UACGUAGGGGGCUAGCGUUGUCCGGAAUCAUUGGGCGUAAAGCGCGUGUAGGCGGUCCGGUAAGUCCGCUGUGAAAGUCGGGGGCUCAACCCUCGAAUGCCGGUGGAUACUGUCGGGCUAGAGUGCGGAAGAGGCGAGUGGAAUUCCUGGUGUAGCGGUGGAAUGCGCAGAUAUCAGGCGGAACACCGAUGGCGAAGGCAGUUCUCUGGGCCGUAACUGACGCUGAGGAGCGAAAGCGUGGGGAGCGAACAGG
rnacentral:rRNA from 1 species